rnacentral:lncRNA from 1 species
AGAAGCUACUGAGUGUUAAAUGGGGGAGUAACUUAAUCAGAUUUGUGUUUCAGAAAGAGCUCUCAAGACCCAAGCCAGGACUUGAGGGAUAUGUUCACGAGGCACCGGCAUUCCAGGCAGAGGGAUAGAAACAGGAAAGUGCAGGGCAGCUGCCAAGAGCUGGAAGCAUCA